CCUACGGGAGGCUGCAGUGAGGAAUAUUGGUCAAUGGGCGAAAGCCUGAACCAGCCAAGUAGCGUGAAGGAUGACGGCCCUACGGGUUGUAAACUGCUUUUAUACGGGAAUAACGCGCCUCACGUGUAGGUCUUUGCAUGUACCGUAUGUAUAAGGACCGGCUAAUUCCGUGCCAGCAGCCGCGGUAAUACGGAGGGUCCGCGCGUUAUCCGGAUUUAUUGGGUUUAAAGGGAGCGUAGGCCGCAUGUCAAGCGUGCUGUGAAAUUUCCGGGCUCAACCCGGGCCGUGCAACGCGAACUGGCGUGCUUGAGUCCGCGGAAAGCAGGCGGAAUUCGUCGUGUAGCGGUGAAAUGCUUAGAUAUGACGAAGAACCCCGAUUGCGAAGGCAGCUUGCUGCAGCGUAACUGACGCUGAUGCUCGAAAGCGUGGGUAUCGAACAGGAUUAGAUACCCUGGUAGUC
rnacentral:rRNA from 1 species